UGAUGAGUGAUUGUCAACGUGAUCCACGAAUAGGUUGAGUUGGUGACUAACAUUACCAUGGCGAAAGCUAUGUGUGCGACAUGUCUCUUGGCUUGUGGUGUUCAGCUGUGGAGCUCGGAGGCGGUGGUCGACGGCGAGGUGAAGGUCAAGUAGAGACGUGUCGUGCCGAUGGACCUGGAGCGGUGAAAGGCGGACGUGAGGCUUGGACCGAC
rnacentral:lncRNA from 1 species